rnacentral:rRNA from 1 species
AACGAACGCUGGCGGCAGGCUUAACACAUGCAAGUCGAGCGCCCCGCAAGGGGAGCGGCAGACGGGUGAGUAACGCGUGGGAAUCUACCCAUCUCUACGGAAUAACGCAUGGAAACGUGUGCUAAUACCGUAUACGUCCUUCGGGAGAAAGAUUUAUCGGAGAUGGAUGAGCCCGCGUUGGAUUAGCUAGUUGGUGGGGUAAAGGCCUACCAAGGCGACGAUCCAUAGCUGGUCUGAGAGGAUGAUCAGCCACACUGGGACUGGGACACGGCCCAGACUCCUACGGGAGGCAGCAGUGGGGAAUAUUGGACAAUGGGCGCAAGCCUGAUCCAGCCAUGCCGCGUGAGUGAUGAAGGCCCUAGGGUUGUAAAGCUCUUUCACCGGUGAAAAUAAUGACGGUAGCCGGAGAAGAAGCCCCGGCUAACUUCGUGCCAGCCGCCGCCGUAAUAC